rnacentral:rRNA from 1 species
AUUGAACGCUGGCGGCAGGCUUAACACAUGCAAGUCGAGCGAGCGGCGGACGGGUGAGUAAUGUCUGGGAAACUGCCUGAUGGAGGGGGAUAACUACUGGAAACGGUAGCUAAUACCGCAUACCAUCGGAUGUGCCCAGAUGGGAUUAACUAGUAGGUGGGGUAAAGGCUCACCUAGGCGACGAUCCCUAGCUGGUCUGAGAGGAUGACCAGCCCCACUGGAACUGAGCGACGGUCCAGACUCCUACGGGAGGCAGCAGUGGGGAAUAUUGCACAAUGGGCGCAAGCCUAAUGCGGCCGUGCCGCGUGUAUGAAGAAGGCCUUCGGGUUGUAAAGUACGUUCAGCGGGGAGGCGUUACCCGCAGAAAAAGCACCGGCUAACUCCGUGCCAGCAGCCGCGGUAAUAC